AUGGACAACACGCGUCCACGCCGAUUCCGGGCGCGCCGUCCUACCAACCUGACAGCUGCCCGCUCUAUACCGUUGGCC
rnacentral:sRNA from 1 species